CUCCGUGGCUCUCCAGCUCCAUUACUCUCCGUUGAUCAAGAUUGGAAGGCAACAGUUGUUCGUCUCAUAUUUUAUGAGAAAAAGAAAAUUUUUAGUGCUUCUUCUCUCCCGCAUUCUCGU